CACAGGGGUCGCAAGAGAUGAGGAGCGCGCCAGCUCCUUCCAUUUGGAAAUCCCACUCCCUUAGCAUUGGGUUCAGAUAACGGGCAAUUUGCAGUUGUCACACAUUUUCUACCUUUCUCAUUUUUUUUGUGUGCGCGUGGUUAAUUGUGAGGGGGAGGACGGCAGACCUUAUCUCCUGCGACUAGUGGUGGUAAAACUGAAAAAUUGUUUUCAUUACCAGGUGGAAGGCUUUUCACAUGCAAAUUAUCAAUAUCAUUGUGAGGUGGCAUUUUUAUUAAUCCAAACCAGCUUAUCUGACCAAAAAGAAAGGAAGAUCAUUCUUGUUUUAUAUCAAACAUUUUGCUCUGACAAUGAACAUACCGCUCUACCACAACAGUCUAUUUUCUACACUUUGCUCUCAUCUUCCUGCAACCCAUCUUACAAAUGAGACGUAAAAUUGUGGCUCUGGAUGCUUAUGGACCCAACCCUGCAGCGUUUACGCACCUGUUUAAGUUGAAUCAUGAGAGUUUUCAUAGUGGAUUGAAUGUGUGGAAUGGUGAAUACUUGAGGAACUAUGGCAAUUGCUCCAAAGCUGUCUGUGGUUCUUAAAGAGCAGUGCAUAAAACUGGGAUGCACUGUCUGCUCCUCGGACAGCUCUGGACAGAAUGCUCUAAGGGACAGACUCGCAGCAAACCCAGAGUAAAAUGUGCUCCUGUGGUCAGUGCCUGUUACUCUCGUUCCUUGCUUUUGCUGUUGUACAAGUCCUGAUCAUGCAGUAUUUAGCCCUCAGCAACGCAACAGAAUCGCCAGGUUUUCACCACAGAGUUGCACUUGGGGAUGUUACAAAGCCUCAUUAAUUGACUACAAAACAGUUCAGCACGCUGCACUGCUCCUGCAUCGUCUACAGAGCUGGCAGCCUCCUCGCUCAAAGCCUGGCUGUGCAGCCAGGGUCCAGUCCCUGCCUUUAAAGCCCAACCAGAUGAAGGAUGACCUUUCUCUCUGACCUACACCUUUCAUAGGAAUAAAGCAACAGAUGACUCCA
rnacentral:lncRNA from 1 species